rnacentral:rRNA from 1 species
AACGAACGCUGGCGGCAUGCCUAACACAUGCAAGUCGAACGAGACCUUCGGGUCUAGUGGCGCACGGGUGCGUAACGCGUGGGAACCUGCCCUUAGGUUCGGAAUAACUCCCCGAAAGGGGUGCUAAUACCGGAUAAUGUCUUCGGACCAAAGAUUUAUCGCCUUUGGAUGGGCCCGCGUUGGAUUAGCUAGUUGGUAGGGUAAAAGCCUACCAAGGCGACGAUCCAUAGCUGGUCUGAGAGGAUGAUCAGCCACACUGGGACUGAGACACGGCCCAGACCCCCACGGGGGGGAGGAGGGGGGAAUAUGGGACAAGGGGGGAAAGCCUGACCCAGCAAGGCCGGGGGGGGGAUGAAGGCCUUAGGGUUGUAAAGCUCUUUUACCCGGGAUGAUAAUGAAAGUACCGGGGAAAUAAGCCCCGGCUAACUCCGU